UAUCAGUAUUUCUGAUUAAUUAGACUAGACGUAGGGAGAGCUCUACCUAAAGUUUUUUACCGGCAAGAAUUUAUGUACCAUCUUAUUAUCUAUUUAAAAAGUUUUCCUCGUCGUGUGACGCGGCCCGUCGGUAUAAACAGUCGUGCAGUCCUGUCGCAAUCAUUGCCAGUAAUACUCGCGAGAAUCAUGCUGCGAAUGUGUUUGCUGCUGUGUAUUGUGGGCGGAGUCGUCUGCCAAAUUGAGCAGUCUAUCUUCGCUCAACUAUACUAUCCUCCAGUAGUACACGCCCAGCCCAGACCACGGAAUACUUCGCCGCAACCAACCAUAGUCCGCCGAGAGAGAAGCGCGUUCGAUAAGGAACAGGAUCGUGAAAGCAACAACGCCAUCUUGCGUCGCCUCCGAGAGAAAAUGGCGGACCCCAAAUGGACACCAGAAAUACGACCACGCAAGAUGUAAAACGUAUGUUUAAUGUGAAGUGUUUUUACUUUUAAGUUUAAGGAAGUGUUUUGAUUCUGAGUGAAAUAAAAUUUUUAGU